rnacentral:rRNA from 1 species
GACGAACGCUGGCGGCGUGCCUAAUACAUGCAAGUAGAACGCUGAAGGAGGAGCUUGCUUCUCCGGAUGAGUUGCGAACGGGUGAGUAACGCGUAGGUAACCUGCCUGGUAGCGGGGGAUAACUAUUGGAAACGAUAGCUAAUACCGCAUAAUAGCAGUUAUUGCAUGAUAACUGUUUGAAAGGUGCAAUUGCACCACUACCAGAUGGACCUGCGUUGUAUUAGCUAGUUGGUGGGGUAACGGCUCACCAAGGCGACGAUACAUAGCCGACCUGAGAGGGUGAUCGGCCACACUGGGACUGAGACACGGCCCAGACUCCUACGGGAGGCAGCAGUAGGGAAUCUUCGGCAAUGGACGGAAGUCUGACCGAGCAACGCCGCGUGAGUGAAGAAGGUUUUCGGAUCGUAAAGCUCUGUUGUAAGAGAAGAACGAGU